AUUGAACGCUGGCGGCAUGCCUUACACAUGCAAGUCGAACGGUAACGCGGGGCAACCUGGCGACGAGUGGCGAACGGGUGAGUAAUGCAUCGGAACGUGCCCAGUAGUGGGGGAUAGCCCGGCGAAAGCCGGAUUAAUACCGCAUACGACCUACGGGUGAAAGCGGGGGAUCGCAAGACCUCGCGCUAUUGGAGCGGCCGAUGUCAGAUUAGGUUGUUGGUGGGGUAAAGGCCUACCAAGCCUACGAUCUGUAGCUGGUCUGAGAGGACGACCAGCCACACUGGGACCGAGACACGGCCCAGACUCCUACGGGAGGCAGCAGUGGGGAAUUUUGGACAAUGGGGGCAACCCUGAUCCAGCCAUGCCGCGUGCGGGAAGAAGGCCUUCGGGUUGUAAACCGCUUUUGUCAGGGAAGAAAUUGUCCGGGCUAAUACCUCGGGCCGAUGACGGUACCUGAAGAAUAAGCACCGGCUAACUACGUGCCAGCAGCCGCGGUAAUAC
rnacentral:rRNA from 1 species